AUUCAUAUAGUUUAUUUUAAAACCUUUUUUUUUCAAAAAAAUAAUAGUACYCAGUAUUUAUGAAUG
rnacentral:tRNA from 1 species